CCUACGGGAGGCAGCAGUGGGGAAUUUUGGACAAUGGGCGCAAGCCUGAUCCAGCCAUGCCGCGUGCAGGCAGAAGGCCUUCGGGUUGUAAACUGCUUUUGUCAGGGAAGAAAUCCUUUGGGUUAAUACCUCGGAGGGAUGACGGUACCUGAAGAAUAAGCACCGGCUAACUACGUGCCAGCAGCCGCGGUAAUACGUAGGGUGCAAGCGUUAAUCGGAAUUACUGGGCGUAAAGCGUGCGCAGGCGGUUAUGCAAGACAGAUGUGAAAUCCCCGGGCUCAACCUGGGAACUGCAUUUGUGACUGCAUGACUAGAGUACGGCAGAGGGAGAUGGAAUUCCGCGUGUAGCAGUGAAAUGCGUAGAUAUGCGGAGGAACACCGAUGGCGAAGGUAAUCUCCUGGGCCUGUACUGACGCUCAUGCACGAAAGCGUGGGGAGCAAACAGGAUUAGAUACCCUUGUAGUC
rnacentral:rRNA from 1 species